rnacentral:lncRNA from 1 species
AUGUUAAUGCCUUGUUACUCCUGUGUCAUCUCUGCAGACACUGAACGGGCAGUGGAAAUUCUGACCAGAUACCAAAGCACCCUGCAGUCCCCGGAGGAGCAGGAGUUAAAAGCUUCCAUUGGAAAAGUUUCGCACAUCUUCCAAAGUGAACUCUUCCAGGCUCUGCUGGAUAUCCAUGAAUUCUACGAUUUCACGCUGCGCUCUGCACCCGAGCAGUCUCCGAGCCUGGAUGCACGUCAUGGCACAGCCAGGGAACAGCUUGGGGACAGUGAGCCCAGCUCCACAGUCACACCCAGAGAGCCCCAAAACCUGCCUGAGGGCUGCUCCUGGGACCGUGAGCAGAGGCUCACCACAGGGGACAGCGCUGCGGGGACAGCGCCACGGCUGGUCCCUGCCCCAGGUGAGCCUCCGUGCGCCCCACGCCAGCUCCCGCCCUGCCUGGCACUGAGGGCACAGCGCCGGAGCCGCGCGCUCCCGGCACCGCGGGCGCGGCGCGUCCCUCCCCUGGGGCUGGCACGGUGUCCUCCUGGCUGCUCUGCUGAUGCUCACACCAGAAAAUCGAGCGGUCACUUGUGCCAGGGGCUGGACAGCGCUGAAAUCAUCCCCUUGCCUUAGCAGUGGUGUCAGCCCUCAGGGCUGGGAGGGCAGGUGGAUGUGGCGCAGGAAUAACGAGGCUGCUGGAGCUGGAAAUCCUCCCAGGCCCGUCCCUCUCGCCCCCGGCGCUGGCACGCUCCCACGUUGCAGAUUUCCAUAUUUUUUUCUCCGAGCUCUUAAAUGGCAGGUCCGUUCCUCAGCUUCCCGGGAGCUUUUCUCUGCUGUCUUAUUUACUUGGAAACACCAUUUAUUUGGAUGUGCAUCGUAAAGCUCAGCCUCCACCUGGUGCAAGAAAAUCCUUUGGGCUACGCAUUUGAGGGGAGUUUUAGGGAUGAGUGAAGGGCAAAAUGCACUUUUGGGAAGGAUGAAGUGGCCGGGAAGAAUGGAGCUCACCACAGAUUUAAAAUUAUACGAAAAUGUUGUUUUUCUUGGCAAAGUUUGAAAUAAUGCUUGUUUGCUAAGUCUAAGUAUUCUUCCAAAGUAUUUUAAAUACAAAAAUUGCACUGCCUCUCUUCUGUCCUUUUUUAAAUGUUUCCCUUCUUUUUCUGAACUGCAAUAAAAUGGGUAACACCCCAUUUUUUCUCUUACUGUUUAAUUUCUCCUUUUCUCUUGUUUCUCUCUGCAUUUUCAAUCAUUCACCAUAUCUUUAGCAGUUUUUGAAGGGCGAGACAGUGGUUUUCUGAAUAUGACAAGAAGAUGAGCUUGGCUGCUGAUUUCCAUUUGCCAGUGGGUGGGAAACACCGCCACAGGGGAAUCACAGGGCAAAACCCAUGAGGGGGUGAGAGCCUGAGCAAUUGGGAACAGAUUCUGUUGUGAUUUUAAGGGAUUUUCUUCCUAGCUGUCCCAGGCCAUGAAGUACAGCAGCUCUUGCAUCUAGCCCCAAAUGUCUGGCUGAGUUGCAAUGUCUCUUUUAGCAGCAGACACCUAGUUUUGAUUUUAAGGCUUCAUGCAAUGGGGAAUCUGCUCGGUCCCUGGCCUGGCUGGCCUGCUGAUUAUUUAUCCUUCACAUUAAAAAUCUGUAUUUUACUGUUAGCCUGUAUUUCUCUUGGUUUAGCUCCCAGCAGCAAGGAAAUUUUGCUGCCUUUGUUUGCUAGGAUGAAGGACCUUGGCAAUCAGAAUGUUCCCAACAUGUAGGUAUUUAUAGAUGCAUCUAAGUUCCCUCUUAACUUUCCCUUAGAUAAACUAAACAGAUUGGCUUCUUCACUCGCUCGCUGUUGAGGCAGGUUGUUCCAGACCUGAAAUAAUUCCU